UGAGUUCAGCGGUGUGCAUUGGACCUUCCUCUUUCGAAUAAGCCCUCACCCAGCCCUAAAUGUUCUCAUACAAGGACGAAUAACGGAAGCGCGUAAACCCAUCUUUAUACCCAUUUUUGCCGGUAAUGUCAACGCGCUACUAUUACCCGUGUCUACCCCCUUAAAUUCGGAAGUGAAUUUAAUAUGUAUCUGGAGUUUUUAUCGACGCUUGUGUGCAACAUUCUAAUAUAUUAUGAUAAAAUGGUGUAAGAAACAAGAUGUCCAGUUUUUGACAAUCCGAUAUUGCUGUGUUUUCUUGUGGGUUUUCCAUUUCCACAGUCUCUAAUUGAAUGCAGCUGCUAUCGUCACAUUAAUUGAGGGAAACGAAUCGCCAAUACGCUUGUUCCAUAAAACAACUACGGGAUCAUCAUGAUCUAACCAAAUUACAAUCAAAGAAGAUAGAGAGAAUGUACAGAAUUUCCAAUAAAAUACCAGGACAAAUAACAGAAGUAUGUUCUCGAAACAGAAAUGCAGUUACUUUCUUGCAAGAUAUAUCUGGAAAUAUGAUGAAGCGUUUGAUCAGACACGGAGGGGAAAAUUGCAACAGAGAUAUUAUGGAGUAUAUAUAUAUAUAUAUCUUCAUACAUGUAGCUUUUCACAUUAAGAAAAAGAGCAUAUAAUAGAAGCUUUUCACUAAUUGAAUAUGACAAUCAAAAUCAAAUUGGGGAUAUAUUUGCCAUUAUUUGGCAAUUAAUUUGAAUCUGUUCAGACAUUGAUGGGAAAAUUACCACCAAAAAUUAUGAAGUACAAAAAUUGAAUAAAUACAUUAAAGAAAUUAACCAGCGUAGAGUGAAAUACUAAGAUAAAUAACAAGAACAUACUCUGAAAAGAAAUGCAAUUACUUUGUCGCAAGAUAUAUCUGGAAAUAUGUUUAAGCAUUUAUUUAGACAUUGAUGUGGAAAUUACAAUAAAGGAAUUAUGGAGGAGAACAAUUUGAUAGAUACAGUGAACAAAUUAUCCAAAGAAGAGGAUUAUAAAAUUAGAUAAGUUUGUCUUCCAAAUCAUGGACUAUAAAAACAAUGUAAUGCGAGCAUAUUUUAAGUAAAUAAAUUAAUAGGAGAAAAUGAAA